UCGCCGAAAGGCGAGCUAAUACCGCAUAAGAUCCGCAAGGAUGAAAGCCGAAAGGCGUCGAAGGAGGGGCCUGCGCACGAUUAGCUAGUUGGUAGGGUAACGGCCUACCAAGGCAAUGAUCGUUAGCUGGUCUGAGAGGAUGGCCAGCCACACUGGAACUGAGACACGGUCCAGACUCCUACGGGAGGCAGCAGUGGGGAAUCUUGCACAAUGGGCGAAAGCCUGAUGCAGCGACGCCGCGUGGGGGAUGAAGCUUCUCGGAGUGUAAACCCCUUUCGACCCGGACGAAUGCCCCGCAAGGGGACUGACGGUACGGGUAUAAGAAGCCCCGGCUAACUACGUGCCAGCAGCCGCGGUAAGACGUAGGGGGCCAGCGUUGUUCGGAAUUACUGGGUGUAAAGGGUUCGUAGGCGGUGUGGCAAGUCGGGAGUGAAAUCUCUGGGCUCAACCCAGAGUCUGCUUCCGAAACUGCUGUGCUGGAGUGUGGGAGAGGCGCGUGGAAUUGCAGGUGUAGCGGUGAAAUGCGUAGAUAUCUGCAGGAACACCCGUGGCGAAAGCGGCGCGCUGGACCACUAC
rnacentral:rRNA from 1 species